rnacentral:rRNA from 1 species
AACCCUCGUCGUAUGUUAUAUGUGUCAUACGAGACUGCCGGUAAAAGCCGGAGGAAGGUGAGGAUGAUGUCAAGUCAGCAUGACCUUUAUAUCCAGGGCUACACACACGCUACAAUGGUCUGUACAAUGGGUAGCCAAGCCGCGAGGCGGAGCCAAUCCUGAAAGCAGGCCUCAGUUCAGAUUGCAGUCUGCAACUCGACUGCAUGAAGCCGGAGUUGCUAGUGACCGCAGGUCAGCAAUACUGCGGUGAAUACGUUCCCGGGUCCUU